GAUGAACGCUGGCGGCGUGCCUAAUACAUGCAAGUCGAGCGAACAGACGAGGAGCUUGCUCCUCUGACGUUAGCGGCGGACGGGUGAGUAACACGUGGAUAACCUACCUAUAAGACUGGGAUAACUUCGGGAAACCGGAGCUAAUACCGGAUAAUAUAUUGAACCGCAUGGUUCAAUAGUGAAAGACGGUUUUGCUGUCACUUAUAGAUGGAUCCGCGCCGCAUUAGCUAGUUGGUAAGGCAACGGCUUACCAAGGCAACGAUGCGUAGCCGACCUGAGAGGGUGAUCGGCCACACUGGAACUGAGACACGGUCCAGACUCCUACGGGAGGCAGCAGUAGGGAAUCUUCCGCAAUGGGCGAAAGCCUGACGGAGCAACGCCGCGUGAAUGAUGAAGGUCUUCGGAUCGUAAAACUCUGUUAUUAGGGAAGAACAAAUGUGUAAGUAACUAUGCACGUCUUGACGGUACCUAAUCAGAAAGCCACGGCUAACUACGUG
rnacentral:rRNA from 1 species